rnacentral:rRNA from 1 species
AUGGCGGAGGAACCGUCUGCCAAGCGCCAUCAUGCCGAGACGUCGGACAAGAGGAGCAACCUCGUCGACAUUAACGUCCCCGGCGAGAAGCGCGAGUACACAACAACCCUCAAAGGGGUUGAGCUCCACGGCAAUGAGACGCUGGAGAUCGUCUGCACCAGUGUACCAGAAAAGGCCGACGAGGUGAUCUCUAGGCUCUGGAUGAAGCUUGGCGGCAGGUUUCAUAGGAUCGUCGGCGUUGGUGUGCACUACACCAACGAAGAUGAACCUCCCCAAAUGGCAGCAGUCCUGCAGUUGUGCGUCGACGAACUCUGCUUGGUGUACCACAUCGCAGCGGCCACAAAAUGGUGA